AGUCUAAACGUCAGAGGUAUCGGAUUCACAUGGAAUUGUUGUUUAAUUCAAAUGUUUGAAUAUGACAUUGUUUGUGAAGAGGUGAAAUGUAAUUUACCUUCCAAAUGAGAGAUCUGUGUUUUCAUAAAUUUGGCUUCUGCUCAACCAGGGGCCCGCCCCUGUGAAGAGACCUGGGUAAUAGACUUUUCAGACACACCCCUCUCCCUCCACUAUAUAAAGCCAUAGACAAGAAUAUAACUUCCUGUUCCGGGUACUCUAGGAUGACGAUCCAGGGUCAGAAUGGUUCAGAUAAUCACUAUAGAUGAAGCCAACAUCAGCAUGGACUUUGAUUGUGAAUGAGACAUUCUUCAAAGGACAGAGGACUCGGGUGAUGACACGGGCCAUCUACCACCAACCUACUGAAGCGCAGCUCAGAGUAAAUAUUGAUUGCAUUUUCCUCUUCAAAUGGGCGGUAAUUUAGAAUGCAUAAGAUUUACGAUAGCACAGCUCGCCUAUGCUCAAGUCUCCCGCGCUUUCACUAGGACUCCCCCCCUUUCCUUUGUGUAACAAGCUGCCAUAUCUACUCCGCCCGCUAGGGACGUUUUCUGUAUGACGUAAUUUGUGAUCAAGUUAUGAUUUAAUUGUAUAUGUGUGAUUCUGUGUGAUUAGUUAGGUAUUUAGUAAAUAAAUAAUUAAACCCAA